ACAGAGACCACGAGAAUUACAGCCACACAGCAGUAUGACAGGAUGAAGUCCCAAGUGGGGAAGGUAUGAGGAUAGAGCAAGAUCCCUGAGGCCCUACAGCCUGCACCCCUGCUCCCCAAACCCCGUAGGGCCUGAGACUCUAAGGCUUAUCAGACAGCUGAGGAAUCCAUCAAGAUGACGGGCAGGCCCUGGUUUUGGUUGUCCUGGGAGACCUGAGUGUCUCCACUACGGCCACUCCAGCUGCGCUGAUGCAGCACAGAGCUGGAUGACUUACAUUCCGAACAUACCGGCUUGGUCAGCUGAGUGAGUCAUUUAGUAGCUGCAUGUUUGCAUUUAUAGACUUACCCCAGUGGUCUUAGAUGGCUGAAGUUACACUAACAUUUCAC
rnacentral:lncRNA from 1 species